rnacentral:tRNA from 1 species
GUGGGCGUCGUAUAAUGGUUAUUACACGUGCUUGCCAAGCAUGAAAUGGGGGUUCGAUUCUCCUCGCCCGCUCCA